rnacentral:rRNA from 1 species
AGCGAACGCUGGCGGCAGGCUUAACACAUGCAAGUCGAGCGGGCAUCUUCGGAUGUCAGCGGCAGACGGGUGAGUAACACGUGGGAACGUACCCUUCGGUUCGGAACAACUCUGGGAAACUGGAGCUAAUACCGGAUACGCCCUUAUGGGGAAAGGUUUACUGCCGAAGGAUCGGCCCGCGUCUGAUUAGCUAGUUGGUGGGGUAACGGCCUACCAAGGCGACGAUCAGUAGCUGGUCUGAGAGGAUGAUCAGCCACACUGGGACUGAGACACGGCCCAGACUCCUACGGGAGGCAGCAGUGGGGAAUAUUGGACAAUGGGCGCAAGCCUGAUCCAGCCAUGCCGCGUGAGUGAUGAAGGCCUUAGGGUUGUAAAGCUCUUUUGUCCGGGACGAUAAUGACGGUACCGGAAGAAUAAGCCCCGGCUGACUUCGUG